rnacentral:rRNA from 1 species
UGGUGGAGUGAUUUGUCUGGUUAAUUCCGAUAACGAACGAGACUCUGUCCUGCUAAAUAGUUCUGACGUCUCUUUUGCGUCAGAAAUUCUUCUUAGAGGGACUGGCAGCGUCUAGCUGCACGAGAUUGAGCAAUAACA